rnacentral:rRNA from 1 species
CCUAGCAUGCGGUGCUAUACAUGCAGUCGAGCGCGUUGGCCCAUUGAUUGAUGGUGCUUGCACCUGAUUGAUUUUGGUCGCCAACGAGUGGCGGACGGGUGAGUAACACGCAUGUAACCUGCCCAGAAGCGGGGGACAACAUUUGGAAACAGAUGCUAAUACCGCAUAACAACGUUGUUCGCAUGAACAACGCUUAAAAUAUGGCUUCUCGCUAUCACUUCUGGAUGGACCUGCGGUGCAUUAGCUUGUGGGUGGGGUAACGGCCUACCAAGGCCAUGAUGAAUAACCGAGUUGAGAGACUGAUCGGCCACAAUGGGACUGAGACCCGGCCCAUACUCCUACGGGAGAUCUUCCUAGGGAAUCUUCCACAAUGGGCGCAAGCCUGAUGGAGCAACACCGCGUGAGUGAAGAAGGGUUUCGGCUCGUAAAGCUCUGUUGUUAAAGAAGAACACUGAUGAUAGUAACUGUUCAUACGUUGACGGUAUUUAACCUAAAAGUCACGGCUAACUACGUGCCAUCAGCCGCGGGAAUACGUAGGUGGCAAGCGUUGUCCGGAUUUAUUGGGCGUAAAGAGAGUGCAGGCGGAUUUCUAAGCCUGAUGUGAAAGCCUUCGGCUUAACCGGAAAAUGGCAUCCUAAACUGGAUAACUUGAGUGCGGAACAGGGUAGUGAAACUCCAUGUGUAGCGAUGGAAUGCGUAAAUAUAUGGAAGAACACCAGUGUCUAAGGUGGCUACCUGGCCUGCAAUUGACGCUGAGACUCGAAAGCAUGAUUAGCGAACAUGAUUAGAUACCCUGGUAGUCCAUGCCGCUAAACUAUGAGUGCUAGGCGUUGCAGCGGUUUCCGCCCUUCACGUGCCUGAAGCUAACCGCACUUAAGCACUCCGCCUGCGAGAGUACGAACCGCAAAGGUUGAUAGACUCAGAGGCAAUUUGCACAGGCGGCGCAGCACUAGCGGUUGAAUUCAUGAUGCUUUACGUACGAAGCUACCCAGAAGCAUCGCUUAUCCAUGCCUGACAUCAUGCAUCAAUCGCUAGACGAAUAGGGCGCUUCCAUUACAGGACGCAAAUGACAUGUCGUGCACUGCUCGUCGUCAGAUCUGUCGUGAGACGCUUCGAGC